CCUACGGGAGGCAGCAGUGAGGAAUAUUGGACAAUGGAGGCAACUCUGAUCCAGCCAUGCCGCGUGCAGGAAGACUGCCCUAUGGGUUGUAAACUGCUUUUAUAUAGGAAGAAACCUACUUACGUGUAAGUAGCUGACGGUACUAUAAGAAUAAGGAUCGGCUAACUCCGUGCCAGCAGCCGCGGUAAUACGGAGGAUCCAAGCGUUAUCCGGAAUCAUUGGGUUUAAAGGGUCCGUAGGUGGAUAAUUAAGUCAGAGGUGAAAUCUUGCAGCUCAACUGUAAAAUUGCCUUUGAUACUGGUUAUCUUGAGUUAUUAUGAAGUAGUUAGAAUAUGUAGUGUAGCGGUGAAAUGCAUAGAUAUUACAUAGAAUACCAAUUGCGAAGGCAGAUUACUAAUAAUCAACUGACACUGAUGGACGAAAGCGUGGGUAGCGAACAGGAUUAGAUACCCUGGUAGUCCACGCCGUAAACGAUGGUUACUAGCUGUUUGGACCUUGUGUCUGAGUGGCUAAGCGAAAGUGAUAAGUAACCCACCUGGGGAGUACGUUCGCAAGAAUGAAACUCAAAUGAAUUGACG
rnacentral:rRNA from 1 species